rnacentral:rRNA from 1 species
GACGGGACCGCACAAGCGUGGAUGAUGUGGUUAAUUCGAUGCAACGCGAAAACCUUACCACCUUUGACAUGUACGGAAUCCUUUAGAGAUAGAGGAGUGCUCGAAAGAGAACCGUAACACAGGUGCUGCAUGGCUGUCGUCAGCUCGUGUCGUGAGAUGUUGGGUUAAGUCCCGCAACGAGCGCAACCCUUGUCAUUAGUUGCUACAUUCAGUUGGGCACUCUAAUGAGACUGCCGGUGACAAACCGGAGGAAGGUGGGGAUGACGUCAAGUCCUCAUGGCCCUUAUAGGUGGGGCUACACACGUCAUACAAUGGAUGGUACAAAGGGUCGCCAACCCGCGAGGGGGAGCCAAUCCCAUAAAGCCAUUCGUAGUCCGGAUCGCAGUCUGCAACUCGACUGCGUGAAGUCGGAAUCGCUAGUAAUCGUGGAUCAGAAUGUCACGGUGAAUACGUUCCCGGGUCUU